GUAGGUGGCAAGCGUUGUCCGGAACUGGGCGUAAAGAGCGCGCAGGCGGCCGAAUAAGUCGAAUGUGAAAGCCCCCGGCUCAACUGGGGAAAGUCAUUCGAUACUGUUCGGCUUGAAGGUAGGAGAGGGAAGCGGAAUUUCAGGUGUAGUGGUGAAAUGCGUAGAUAUCUGAAGGAACACCAGUGGCGAAGGCGGCUUUCUGGCCUAUUCUUGACGCUGAGGCGCGAAAGCUAGGGGAGCGAACGGGAUUAGAUACCCCGGUAGUCCUAGCCGUAAACGAUGAACACUAGAUGUAGGUGGUAUCAACCCCGCCAGUGUCGUAGCUAACGCAUUAAGUGUUCCGCCUGGGGAGUACGGCCGCAAGGCUA
rnacentral:rRNA from 1 species